rnacentral:lncRNA from 1 species
GGAGUAUUAUUUCUAAUUGAAAUUACAAUGUUGAAUUUUUCAACUUAUUUUAUUGAAAAUCUCAAAGAUUAUUUUGUAUAGAUACAUCUACGAACAUUUUAAAAAGUGCAAUUAUCAAACAUAAAAUCUCUUAAACGUUACUGUUACAACAACAAUAAGGCAUGUCCAUAAAACAAUCGCCACCGGAAUGAUAGCCUUUUGCUUUACAGUCAUUGGCACAAUGAAAUGAAUCCUUCGGGCAAUAGUUUGUUUGAAAGCAAUUUAAUCCAAUCUUAUCUGCUUUCGAUACAAUCAAUUAAAUGUCAUUAGAAAUAUCAUCUAAUUACAAAAUAUUGUCAUUUCAAACUUAUUAUAUAAAAUUUCAUAAAAUAAAGGUUUCUAAAUACACAAAAAAUAAAGUAUAUAAAACACCACUCUCAAAUUCUAUAAUUGCUUCUAUAAAAAAAAAAAAUCUACAAUUGCAAGACAUUUAUCAUAAACUCAAUAAAAUUCUGUUAAUUACCAGCAAAGGUUAUCGAAGCAACACAAAUAAUUGCAAUGGUAAAAAUGAGAAUUUUGAUGUAGGUUGUCAUUUUUUUGUUGAUAGGUUGAUGGGUUUUGAUGAAAUAGUUGUAUGAGAGGAGAAG